AUGGAACUGAUGGUCACACAGAUUUAUGGAGGCACACAUCCAAACCUAGAUUGGACCUCCAGGAGAGACGAGUGUGGCCACUGGGACGUGCACAUUUAUGGACUUAAAGGCGAAAUGGGUCGUCAUUUGCCCCAGGGCCUUGUGAAGCUCUGGAGUCGCUUCAAGCGUUGGAGAAACCGGAGGAUCCAGCCGGAGCAGCCGGUGGGCGAAGGUGGUCCAGAUGGGCCUAACGGCGUCCACGUCCAUCCUUCACCCACUCCUCAGGUGGGUGACUCAUACACACCCCAUCCACCUUCUCCUCCACGCUCUCUUGUUUUUUGGUCUGCUGGUCCUUCUGUUUCCCCUUCACCCCCUCCUGUUCCUUGUUGCUUUGAUGUUCUUGCUUUUUCUCCUUCACCCUGUCCUACUCCUUCUUUUUCUUCUUCUUCUUUCUCACUCUCUUCUGCUUCCUCUGGUACUUGGUGCUCUGACAUCUUUCCCUUUUCUCCUUACCCUUCUCCUACUCCUUCUUCUUCUUCUUCCUCACUCUCUUCUGCUCACUCUGCUUCUCUGUGCUCUCCUCCUCACUCUCUCAUCUCUCCUUUUUCUUCUCCCUCGCCCUCCUCUGCUUACUCUGGUACUUGUUGCUCUGCUGUCCUUCCCUUUUCUCCUUCACCCUCUGCUGUUCCUAGUUGUUCUGCUGUCUUUCCUUUUUGUCCUUCACCCUCUCCUACUCCUUCUUCUUCUUCCUCACCCUCUUCUGCUUACUCUUGUCUUUGUUGCUCUGAUGCCCUUCCUUUGUCCCCUUUACCCUCUCCUGUGACGGAGAGAGUGAAGGAGCUCAUCCAGCAGCUCAUCUUCCAGGAGAGGUAA
rnacentral:lncRNA from 1 species